AAUGAACGCUGGCGGCGUGCCUAAUACAUGCAAGUCGAGCGAACACAUGGGGAGCUUGCUCCUCUGACGUUAGCGGCGGACGGGUGAGUAACACGUGGAUAACCUACUUAUAAGACGGGGAUAAUUUCGGGAAACCGCUGCUGAUACCGGAUAAUAUAUUGAACGGCUUGGUUCAAUAGUGAUAGACGGUUUUUGUGUUACUUAUAGAUGGAUCCGCGCCGCAUUAGCUAGUUGGUGAGGUAACGGCUUACCAAGGCGACGAUGCGUAGCCGACCUGAGAGGGUGAUCGGCCACACUGGAACUGAGACACGGUCCAGACUCCUACGGGAGGCAGCAGUAGGGAAUCUUACGCAAUGGGCGAAAGCCUGACGGAGCAACACCGCGUGAGUGAUGAAGGUCUUCGGAUCGUAAAGCUCUGUUAUUAGGAAAGAACAAAUGUGUAUGUAACGAUGCACGUCUUGACGGUACCUAAACAAAAAGCCCCGGCUAACUACGUG
rnacentral:rRNA from 1 species